GAGAGAUCUGGGAGUGCCCGAAAGGGAGCCUUCACACAGGUGCUGCAUGGCUGUCGUCAGCUCGUGUCGUGAGAUGUUGGGUUAAGUCCCGCAACGAGCGCAACCCUUGUCAUUAGUUGCUACAUUUAGUUGGGCACUCUAAUGAGACUGCCGGUGACAAACCGGAGGAAGGUGGGGAUGACGUCAAGUCCUCAUGGCCCUUAUGGGUAGGGCUUCACACGUCAUACAAUGGUACAUACAGAGGGCCGCCAACCC
rnacentral:rRNA from 1 species